CCAAAGCAAAUAAAAGGGAACUCUCCCUUGCUUUAUAAUAAAAUUGAGUAGACUAAGUGGGAAAAAAGGGAUGUUAGUCCCCUUUUUAUGGCCGAUUCAUUGGAUUGGGCCCCCAAAAG
rnacentral:rRNA from 11 species